rnacentral:rRNA from 1 species
AGAGUUUGAUCAUGGCUCAGAUUGAACGCUGGCGGCAGGCCUAACACAUGCAAGUCGAGCGCGAAAGGCUUUCGGGCUGAGUAGAGCGGCGGACGGGUGAGUAACGCGUAGGAAUCUACCUGGUAGUGGGGGACAACUUGGGGAAACUCAAGCUAAUACCGCAUACGCCCUGAGGGGGAAAGCGGGGGAUCUUCGGACCUCGCGCUAUCGGAUGAGCCUGCGUCGGAUUAGCUAGUUGGUGGGGUAAAGGCUCACCAAGGCGACGAUCCGUAGCUGGUCUGAGAGGAUGAUCAGCCACACUGGGACUGAGACACGGCCCAGACUCCUACGGGAGGCAGCAGUGGGGAAUAUUGCGCAAUGGGGGCAACCCUGACGCAGCCAUGCCGCGUGUGUGAAGAAGGCCCUAGGGUUGUAAAGCACUUUCAAUUGGGAAGAAAAGUUGGUCGUUAAUAGCGGCCAGCCCUGACAUUACCUUUAGAAGAAGCACCGGCUAACUCCGUGCCAGCAGCCGCGGUAAUACGGAGGGUGCGAGCGUUAAUCGGAAUUACUGGGCGUAAAGCGCGCGUAGGCGGUUUGUUAAGUCAGCUGUGAAAGCCCCGGGCUCAACCUGGGAACUGCAGUUGAUACUGGCCGACUAGAGUACGAGAGAGGGAGGUAGAAUUCCAUGUGUAGCGGUGAAAUGCGUAGAUAUAUGGAGGAAUACCGGUGGCGAAGGC